UACGGGGGGAGCAAGCGUUGUUCGGAUUUACUGGGCGUAAAGGGCGCGUAGGCGGUCGUGACAAGUCACUUGUGAAAUCUCCGGGCUUAACUCGGAACGGUCAAGUGAUACUGUCGGACUAGAGUACAGAAGGGGCAACUGAAAUUCUCGGUGUAGCGGUGAAAUGCGUAGAUAUCGAGAGGAACACCUGCGGCGAAGGCGGGUUGCUGGGCUGAUACUGACGCUGAGGCGCGAAAGCCAGGGGAGCGAACGGG
rnacentral:rRNA from 1 species